rnacentral:rRNA from 1 species
AGAAUCAACGCUGGCGGCGUGCCUAACACAUGCAAGUCGAACGAGAAAGUGGAGCAAUCCAUGAGUAAAGUGGCGCACGGGUGAGUAACACGUGACUAACCUACCCUUGAGUGGGGAAUAACUUCGGGAAACCGAGGCUAAUACCGCAUAACACCUACGGGUCAAAGGAGCAAUUCGCUUAAGGAGGGGGUCGCGGCAGAUUAGUUAGUUGGCGGGGUAAUGGCCCACCAAGACGGUGAUCUGUAUCCGGCCUGAGAGGGCGCACGGACACACUGGAACUGAAACACGGUCCAGACUCCUACGGGAGGCAGCAGUGGGGAAUUUGCGCAAUGGGGGAAACCCUGACGCAGCAACGCCGCGUGGAGGAUGAAGUCCCUUGGGACGUAAACUCCUGUCAUUAGGGAACAAGUGCCGGCAAUUUACUACUGCCGGCUUGAUAGUACCUGAAGAGGAAGAGACGGCUAACUCUGCGCCAGCAGCCGCGGUAA